rnacentral:rRNA from 1 species
AGCAUGUGGUUUAAUUCGAAGCAACGCGAAGAACCUUACCAGGCCUUGACAUGCAGAGAACUUUCCAGAGAUGGAUUGGUGCCUUCGGGAACUCUGACACAGGUGCUGCAUGGCUGCCGUCAGCUCGUGUCGUGAGAUGUUGGGUUAAGUCCCGUAACGAGCGCAACCCUUGUCCUUAGUUACCAGCACGUUAUGGUGGGCACUCUAAGGAGACUGCCGGUGACAAACCGGAGGAAGGUGGGGAUGACGUCAAGUCAUCAUGGCCCUUACGGCCUGGGCUACACACGUGCUACAAUGGUCGGUACAAAGGGUUGCCAAGCCGCGAGGUGGAGCUAAUCCCAUAAAACCGAUCGUGGUCCGGAUCGCAGUCUGCAACUCGACUGCGUGAAGUCGGAAUCGCUAGUAAUCGUGAAUCAGAAUGUCAUGGUGAAUACGUUCCCGGGCCUU